UUCCAACGAUUUGCUUUAGAAUUCCUACGCUUUACCGUGUGUAAGCCUGGCAAAGCGUUUGGAUUCUGAAUCGAAGCGUCA
rnacentral:pre_miRNA from 1 species